rnacentral:misc_RNA from 1 species
AAUACAAUGGAAUUGGUAUUGUCCCAGGACUCCAUCCUGAAGCUAGCAGCAGCAUAAGAAUGAGAAGAACUCUGGCGGCCAUUGUUAGAGUUGAUGCCUUCAGCAGCAUUUUCACUAACUUCAGAUAUUUGAGAAAGAGAAUCUUGUCCGGCAAAGCUCAACUGAGACUUCAACCUUGACANAGCGUGGCCACCAGUUGCACCAUUGUGAGAGUUAUACCCUCCACUUCCCGUUGUAAUUGAAAAACCGUUUUCCGUGGAGAGAUUGGAUAGAAAACCAGCGGGCGAGCUCUUCUGCCUGACCAAAGAACCAUUAAUAUCAUUGAACCCAUAGGAUCUCUGCAAACCAUCACCGGCGCUGCUCUUCGGCGGCGGCCUUGGAUCGUUAGAUGAGUUGACUUUGCAAGAUGACUCAGUGGUGAGCGAGGACGAGUCCCCAGAGACGUACUGCUGACCAACUAGCGAAGACGAGGAGGAACCCAAGGCAGAGAAUUCACGGUCAGACCCAAUAACAGAAUCCACAGUCCUGCUUAAAAACGAACCUGGGGCCGAACCGUACCUGGUUAGACCAAUCGGGACCGUGGGAUUCUGAGGUGAGGAAGAUGGUGGGUACAUGGCAGCGGGCUUAUCGGGUUUGGACCAACGAGGUUGAGCCAUUACUAUUACGCACAAGAGAGAGAGAGAGAGAGAGAGAG